UACUUAAACAAAAAUACAGAACUAGGGGCUCCUGUGUUUCAGUAUGGAAAACGGGACUAAAAAGUAAUAAAUAUAGACUCCAUACAACGCACUUUCUUAUUUAAUGUGUGUAAAGUUCAUGUCAACAAGUCACAGUGUGGGGAACAAUUCAGUGAAAGAAAAUCCAACCUGGCUCCCCACCCAAAGCUGGCUCCAGCAGCCGGGGCUGCAUCUACAGAGUGGUGGUGGUGCAUCACAAAGCCUCCUAUGCAGACAGGCAGAAGCCCACCCCCAGUUGGUGGUCAAGGAGAAAGGUCCCCCUUUGGAUAGUGUUUCCGCAGUGCUGUGACCUAAUCCUGAGCAGCUCUCCAGUCUGCACAGCGGCGUUCCUGCCUCCGCUCCAGGCACCUGGCUGGAUGCAGGAUGCUGGGGUGAAGCGGGCUAUUGUUUCUAACCUUGGGAGGCAGCACCUGGAGGCCUGUGUUUAGGCUACACCAUGUGUUUCCUGGAGGCAAAUGCAGCAAGGAAUAGAAUCAAAAUGGUUCCUAACACGACUGUUUCUACAUCAACAAGCUAUAAAUGUAUGGAAGAGCUCAACAUACACGUGAAAUAAACAGAAGGACCCCCGUGGACUUCAAGAGGAGUCUCCUACAAGGACCAGCAAUGUGGGAGACCUGACAGGUUCCAGAGCAAAAACUACACCAAGCACUGCUCAAGUUGGAGCCCAAAAGUGGGACACAAAACUAAAGGGUCUUCCCUGCCUAUGCCAUCCCAUGGUGCGCAUAGGAAAUGUCCCCAGGCCUGCUAACUGCUAUACUGGCUUCUCUGGCUCCUAAUGUGGUAACAAAUCGCUAUCCCUCAAUGGGCUGCAGUACUUGGGAGAGCCGGCCCUCACCUUGCCUGGGCAGUGCAGAAGAGCUGGCCCUAGUGACAUAGGCACAGUGGAGCCCGUGCCCGCCCAGGGUGUGAGGAUGAGAAAGCCAGCCCCAACCCUGCUGGGCUUUGGCACUCAGGUUCUUCUGAGUAUGCAGCUCAAGCAAACCCUCCACCUCCAGCCUCUAGAUGACUCCUCCUUCAAUGCUCAUCAAUCAAUUUCCCCAGCAAGAAACAGACACCCUGGCACUGUCCUGUAAGAAGUCUUCGCAGCCACCAGGGUACCAUUUUGUUACCCUAAAGGAUCGCUGAACUAUUCCGAAUUAAUUAAAUGCAUCAAUUUUGAGUUAUUUUUUCCCACAAAAGACAAUCACACACACACACACACAUAAAAAUAAUAAAAUUGUGCUGAUUCUUCCCAGAAGCCCACUUGUCCACUUGGAGACCAGGCUGUGGUUCAGAAGGGAGACCAGAGUGAGGUGAAUUUGUCUCCUGGGUACUGAACCUGUGACCUCAUUAGCGCAGGGUUCUAAUCAACUAAGCCACCAGGCACGUUCCUCACGGAAGGCACCAUGGCGGUAAUUUGCUAUAUGUUAAUUCUAAGAUUAACUACAGAUGAGACGCAUUCCUAGGGGGGCAAAAAUGAGAGAUUUGCUAAUUCUUGGGGAAAAAAAUUAGGGCAUCAGUUUUUGAACCCUUCAGUUUUAAAAUAUAAUUCUGUAAUCUUGAAAUGAUGUUCACCAUCGUCUAUACCUUCAUGAUUUUUUAAUCACUGUCUACAUCAGAAGGGCAAAGCAAAUGGUUCCACCAUUGCAACUGCAAAAUACUAAUCAAGUACUUAUUUAGAGAUUUCUCUAUAUAUUCUGUGUUUUACGCACAAUGCAGAAAAGACAGGUCCCAUGUUGAGCUGAAGAUGGGCUUCCAAAAUUUAGAGGGCUUCAUACCAUCACUGACACCACUACCACACAAGAUGAUAAGUCCGAAAGAGGCAAUCCUUCCUCCCCCAAGAAAAAGAGAAGGUUAAUGUUAUAGACAUGUCUCAAGACAGAGGAAGUUUAAUCCACUCCCCUCUCUUCCUUUUCCUUUAACCAGUCUUGACAAGUUAAUGUUUAAAAACAGUAAAUACGGCUGGAAUACUGUUUUGGCGCUGGCUUGGUAUCCUGUACUCAAAUUCCUAUAAAUAUUCUGCCUGCUUCCCAUCUCUGAGAACAAUUUCCGCUCUGAGGCUACAUUAAACACUCAGGCCAUUUCAGCUUCAGCUGCCCCCACCCUUACUGUGACUUUGAACUUGAUAUG